UCCAUGGGCGCUAGUAAUCGGUAAUCGCUUACGAUUCAUCUGUUCUUUUGCGUCCUAUAUUAUAUGUGUAGUGCGCCGUACCUACAUAACUUUAUAUCUUAUCAAAGUACGAUUAGCUGCGGUUGUGAUUAGGUAUCCUUUAUGCUUCAUUUAGUCAUCCAUUUUAUUUGUGAAGUGUUGAAAAUAACUUUCCCUAUGUCUAACGCAACGAAGAAAUAGUGAGUAAUGUAUAUUAUUAACGUAAAUUGUUAUUAGUUAGGUAUAAAUAUCAUUUAAUAUUUACCAGUUCCUCUUUGGUGAAGAAAACAAUCGUCAGGAAACCUUCAUAUUGUAUAUCAGUAAACAAAGUACUGUGAUAAAACAGCAGCGUGGUCCAAAAUUGAAGCUAAUAUUUUCUGUCACAAAGCUGUCAUCUGAUACUAAUGAUAUUGAGACAGAGUCUAUUACAUGUCAUGAGAAUUUGGCUCUGGUGAAAAUGUCAUUUAAGAGUUCUAGUUCAGGUCUCCAAAUAAAUAUGAAGAUAAAGAGAGACGAACAAGCAAACCAUUUACUUCCUGUGAAGAUAAUUUGUAAAGAAAAGGAAGGAGAGUUUUAUUGUUCUGAUGAAUGGUUAGAUAUUCCAAUUACAUCCAAAUCGGCUGAUUCUUAUAUUGUACAUGAGAAUCAGCCGACAUAUGCUGGAGGUUUUAGGGCAUAUGCAGUGUUGACAUUCGUGUUUGAGGUCAAUAUUAAAGUAACAUCAAUACCCAUAACGGCCACAACACCUGUGGCCUCAUUAGUGACCAAUCAACUUUUCGAGGAUGAGGAGUUUCCGGAUUUUCAACUGCAAGGAACAGAUGGCAAUGUGCCUGUUCACAAAUCCAUCCUGCUAAUUCACAGCGAUAUGGUUAAGACAAUGCUACGAGGUGGAAAAUGGGAGGAAAGCAAAAAUAGCUGCAUGAAAAUAAAUGGAGCUAAUGUGGAGACCCUUAAUCACCUGAAAGCCUACAUGUACUUAGGGAUUCUGCCCGAGGAGGGCCUAGAAUCCUUACUGCUGAUCGCUUCAUGCUACCUGAUGGAACAACUGAGGACUGAUUGCAUUGCAAAGGUGGUUAAUACAGUGAAACCCGGCGAUAUUGAAUGCCUUGUUAAAUUUGCAUGUGAAAACAAUAUGCCCGAUCUAGUUAUUGCCGUUACUACAAAUCUAAGAUAAUAUCGUAGAAAAUGAUUAUCAGUUAGAAAUUGGGACUCAGUUAUCAAAAUAUAACCGAUAAAUAAGUUUCUUGUUAAAACUGUGAUUAAUUACUAAGUGUGGGUAAGGUGUAAAUCAUUUUAUUACCCGAGUUAGGCAAAGGUCUCAGUUUCAGUUUGAGCAGAAGUUUGCGGUAACUUUGGUGGUUUAUAAUAAACUUAAUAAAAUAUACUUUCUUAGUACUAGUAGUAUCUAUCUACA